GGAGAUGUACCAAGUGGCUGAAGGGUCCGCACUCGAAAUGCGGUAGACCGGGCAACCGGUGCGAGGGUUCAAAUCCCUCCAUCUCCG
rnacentral:tRNA from 1 species